UAAUGAGAAGUUGGAGGUUGCCAGUAGGGGAGGGUUUAUGCUCAACCUUGCCGUUGGGAAAUCACCAGGAAAGCCUAGAAGGGGGUUGGUUUUGGCUACGAAUUCACCCCUUGCCCCAAGAGCAGGUGUGACAGGCACUCCCUGGCACACGGGCAGGGAGCUGUGUGCGGGCUGUGGACUACAGGGGAGGCACAGGUUUCCCUUUGCAGGACUGAAGGAUCACCUGGUUAUCAUUGUGUGCUACCAGAGAAGCCCACAGUGCUCUCCAGAAAGCCUCUCUGCUGUCUGCUCUCCUGGGGCCAUAAAGCCAACUACAGAAAAGCAGAUUCAGCCUUCUCCAGAUGCACGGAGACAAGAAGUAGAAGUUUUGCCAGUUCUCUGCAUCCUCCUCUGACUCUGCCCCAGUGAGCCCUUCCUGCUGGCA